AGUACGUAAUGCUGUCCAACAUAUUUUAGAUGGUAGUUUAUAGGUUUACACAAAAAUUAUCAGUGAUAAUUAUGACAUUAUUAUUCAAUACACAAACAAAGUUUGCUAUUAAAACUGUAGGUGGCUCAUAAUUAGGAUGCUCAACUUUACAAACCAUGUUCAUUAAUAGUGUAUUCAGACUGCGACUUCAUCAGAUUAUUCCAUAACUCCAAAUUUGAAUUUACUGAUUAUUUUUUGAUGUUUACUUAACUAACAAAAUUAAACAGAAACAAUUUUAUAAAAAAUACGAUGGUACGAUAUCUGUGACCGCACCGACGUUACGGAACACACUUUCAAAGAACAGCGCCCCAAUCUCACCUAUCCCGAAAAACGCAUUACGAACACCGCUGCGACGAGAUUCGAACCACCUACCAGAAAACAGAAAUCGGUAUUUAAUCCAAUGCCUACGGUGAAGUCAUGAAGCAAAAUUAUACAUAUUAACAAGCUUAUAUUAGUUUCACCUUGUCGACUACAUUAUUGCGACGUAAAUUGUGUCAACUGGCUCCCCAGUAUGGAUCUUAACCCGUCUUACAUUGGAUCAAGGUAAGAAAACCAUUUGUUGACUUAAUUUUAACGUGCUUACUUUUUAUUAACACGCUUAUUUUAGUUUCUCCUGUAUGUUUGUUAUUGACAGCUAGGCAUCCUUCACAUUUCCUUUUCUCCGAGUUAUUUCAAUCACACAGUUCGACAGCAGUGAAUUCCUCACCCGGUUAUCAUAAAUUGUCAAUAGCGC